UACGAAGGGGGCUAGCGUUGUUCGGAAUUACUGGGCGUAAAGCGUGCGCAGGCGGCUUCUCAAGUCAGGGGUGAAAGCCCAGAGCUCAACUCUGGAAUUGCCUUUGAGACUGAGUGGCUUGAGUACGAGAGAGGUGAGUGGAAUUCCCAGUGUAGAGGUGAAAUUCGUAGAUAUUGGGAAGAACACCGGUGGCGAAGGCGGCUCACUGGCUCGUAACUGACGCUCAUGCACGACAGCGUGGGGAUCAAACAGGAUUAGAU
rnacentral:rRNA from 1 species